CAAAGUUCAUAAAAGGCCAACCCUCCCAGGACUUUUUCGGCUUUCGACCUUGUGCGGCAUCUUUCUGAACUCCCCCGGCCGUCCGAUCUUUCACAGUACCAUCCGAACUCCUCCAGCAGUCGACCUUCCAUAGUGUCCUUCAGAUUCCUCCAACGGAUGAACUUUUAUCGUACCCUUCAGACUUCUCUGAUAAUGAGCUCCUUCAGUCAUCUAUCGGACUGCUCCAAAUGCUCUCUGGGCUUCACUAUCAGUCGAUUUUCUACAGUGAUUGACUACUCUCCGAAUCUCUUCCAGACUUCCUCCUGUC
rnacentral:lncRNA from 1 species